rnacentral:rRNA from 1 species
UACGAAGGGGGCGAGCGUUGUUCGGAAUUACUGGGCGUAAAGCGCACGUAGGCGGAUCGUUAAGUCGGGGGUGAAAUCCUGGAGCUCAACUCCAGAACUGCCUUCGAUACUGGCGAUCUUGAGUCCGGAAGAGGUGAGUGGAACUCCUAGUGUAGAGGUGGAAUUCGUAGAUAUUCGGAAGAACACCAGUGGCGAAGGCGACACACUGGCCCGUUACUGACGCUGAGGCGCGAAAGCGUGGGGAGCAAACAGG